GACGAACGCUGGCGGCGUGCCUAAUACAUGCAAGUCGAACGCAGUGGGGACGGGUGAGUAACACGUGGGUAACCUCCCGUCAGAGGGGAUAACACUUGGAAACAGGUGCUAAACCGAUACUGAUGGAUGGACCCGGGGGGCAUUAGCUAGUGGGGGGGGUAACGGCUCACCAAGGCCACGAUGCCUAGCCGACCUGAGAGGGUGAUCGGCCACACUGGGACUGAGACACGGCCCAGACUCCUACGGGAGGCAGCAGUAGGGAAUCUUCGGCAAUGGACGAAAGUCUGACCGAGCAACGCCGCGUGAAUGAAGAAGGUUUUCGGAUCGUAAAGCUCUGUUGUUGGAGAGGCGGUAUCUAACCAGAAAGCACCGGCUAACUACGUGCCAGCAGCCGCGGUAAUAC
rnacentral:rRNA from 1 species